UUCGCCUCAGGGGCAGGACACAGUUACCAUUUCCCGAAUCCCAGACUGCCUCACUGCCAUUCUCGUGUCGCAUUUGUCAAUAUUUUCUAUCGAGAGUCGUCUGUUGGCUGGAGGGUACAGAGCAGUAUGAAAACAAACAUGCCUAAAAUAACAAAUUAGCAUAGACCAGUGGGACUGCCAGAGAGUGAUGGAAGAGGACGCACCGAUGUUGAAUGAUGUGCGAACAAGUUGUAAUUAUUUCGCAUUAAGCCAAGGAACCAAACCGAAAGGAAUGGAGUAGAGUGGUGAUGCUGAAGCCAUGGCCAUUGGAAGACCCCAAAGAUGUCAAAGAUGGAUGCAGCUCUGGCAAACAGAAACCGAAACCGAGUUGAAUAAUGACCUUAAAGAAUGAGUUGAAUACAUUCUGUAAAGAAUUAAUGAAUGAAUGAAGUAUUCUCCAGGCAAAAGAGAGGACUUCGCAGGGCCUUCGGUUACGGCGGCUUAUCAGAAGGCCAGGCCAGGAAAACGAGAGUUUAAAUCGAUGAGCGAGUAUCUUAUUAAAGCACCCGGAGGGAUGUCAUCGAAAGAGGGCUCUUACGAUCAAAGAUCUUAUGCCCUGAAUGGCUAAAUAUACAUACGAAAUAUGGUAAAUAGGAAGAUCUUUCGCUCAAGGAUGUUCUGGACCCUGGAUCUUCUAAGCAAAUAUUGAAAGUAGUUUACAUAAUUUCACCGAAAAUGUUGACUAUUUACCUACCGCGUACUUCAUACAUUUUUGCACUGCUGCUGAAUCAGCUGUCCCGCAAAGCAGACCCUGUGUGUAUCGUGUCCAUCCCACAACUGUGAGACACGCUGCACCGUCAAUUCAUCCCUAUUUGUAUCACUUUUCGGCACUUCCGCCCAUUGUGUCUGCCACUGGCGGCACAUGCCACAAAACUCCGUUCGAGUGCACAAGACAAUGGGAAAGAAAUUUCCUACAAAAUCAAACAAUAACACGAUUUACAAUAAUACUUCGACGAUUACUCGAAGCAAAAACUCAGCAAUCGCCCAAUUGUGCUCGCGAGGAGACUUGCAAGCACCAGACACCUGCGAAGGCUUGACAAUAUUCAUCCAGCGGACUUGCCCAACAGGAGGUUCUAAGUCGGACCCCAACCACACGAGAACCAGAUUGUUUUUAGUUUUUUUUGUAUAUCUGUUUAUUUUUGAAUAAUUGUUAUGUUAAUUGUAAAAAUUUAUUUGAUAUUAGGUGAUGCACAAAAUUUGU